rnacentral:ncRNA from 1 species
UUAAGAACGAAGAAGGGGAGUAGUAAGUAGGAUAGCCCUUAAAGAGAGCGGAGCUGCUGCGCUGAGAAGUUCCGUAGGAAGCAUCUUGCUGAAGUCACCCCGGAGUUGUAAACGUGAAGAGGAUUUCUUUGAAAACCUUUAGCGCUUACCGGCCUGCAGCCGUUACCUGCUUGAAGUGUCAGGGUGAAUCCGUUUUUUUAAGCAAGAAAUGGGCGGUUUUCACACUGAAAUGAAGGUGGUACCACGGAAGUCAGACCUUUCGUCCUUUGU